rnacentral:piRNA from 1 species
UGGCCUCGAACUCAGAAAUCCGCCUGCCUC